CCUACGGGAGGCUGCAGUGGGGAAUAUUGGACAAUGGGCGAAAGCCUGAUCCAGCCAUGCCGCGUGUGUGAAGAAGGCCUUCGGGUUGUAAAGCACUUUCAGUGGGGAAGAAAGCCUUGGGGCUAAUACCCUCGAGGAAGGACAUCACCCACAGAAGAAGCACCGGCUAACUCCGUGCCAGCAGCCGCGGUAAUACGGAGGGUGCGAGCGUUAAUCGGAAUUACUGGGCGUAAAGCGCGCGUAGGCGGUCUGAUAAGCCGGUUGUGAAAGCCCCGGGCUCAACCUGGGAACGGCAGCCGGAACUGUCAGGCUAGAGUGCAGGAGAGGAAGGUAGAAUUCCCGGUGUAGCGGUGAAAUGCGUAGAGAUCGGGAGGAAUACCAGUGGCGAAGGCGGCCUUCUGGACUGACACUGACGCUGAGGUGCGAAAGCGUGGGUAGCAAACAGGAUUAGAUACCCCAGUAGUC
rnacentral:rRNA from 1 species